rnacentral:rRNA from 1 species
GACAGAGGGUGCAAACGUUGUUCGGAAUUACUGGGCGUAAAGCGCGUGUAGGCUGCUGCGAAAGUCAGGUGUGAAAGCCCCGGGCUCAACCUGGGAAGUGCACUUGAAACCUCGCGGCUUGAAUGCCGGAGAGGGUAGCGGAAUUCUCGGUGUAGAGGUGAAAUUCGUAGAUAUCGAGAGGAACACCGGUGGCGAAGGCGGCUACCUGGACGGCUAUUGACGCUGAGACGCGAAAGCGUGGGGAGCAAACAGG